GCAAGAGUCAUCAUUCCAUGUGAGAUGCCCAUCAAAUCAACAGAUCUAAAGGAGCUGGUAUCAAGCACACAUAACAGUAGCUCACAACACCUUGCUUAGCCACACCCCCACGGGAUACAGCAGUAAUCAAAAUUAAGCUAUAAACGAAAGUUCGACUAAGUCAUGCAAUUUCUUAUAGGGUUGGUAAAUCUCGUGCCAGCCACCGCGGUCAUACGAUUAACCCUGAUUAAUAAACCCCGGCGUAAAGAGUAUUAAAGAUACAAUAAAAAUAAGAUUAAAUUUCAUCUGGGUCGUAAAAAACUAUAGAUAAAAAUAAAAUCGAUAACGAAGGUAAUCUUAAUAUAUCAGAAUAUACUAAAGCUAAGACACAAACUGGGAUUAGAUACCCCACUAUGCUUAGUUGUAAACACAGAUUCUUAACAACAAAAAUAUCCGCCAGAGAAGUACUAGCAACAGCUUAAAACUCAAAGGACUUGGCGGUGCUUUAAACCCAUCUAGAGGAGCCUGUUCUAUAAUCGAUAAACCCCGAUAAACCUCACCACUUCUCGCUAAUUCAGUCUAUAUACCGCCAUCUUCAGCAAACCCCAACAGGGAUUAAAAGUAAGCACAACGAUCAUCAUAAAANGUUAGGUCAAGGUGUAGCCAAANAAGUGGAAAGAAAUGGGCUACAUUUUCUUUUUAAGAACAUCUAACAGUAAUCCUUAUGAAACUAAGGAUUUAAGGAGGAUUUAGUAGUAAAUUAAGAAUAGAGAGCUUGAUUG
rnacentral:rRNA from 1 species